rnacentral:lncRNA from 10 species
CUGGAAAAAGUUUUCUCUCUCUUAAGAAAAAGGCAUGUAAAGAGACUGCUCUUUUCUUCUUCCAUACAUCCUUCUUGCUGGAGGUUUUUUUCCAGGAUAGAAACAGCCAUCUUGCAACCAGGAAGGGGCCAACUGAGGGCAAAGCUGACACACAGAGGAUGGCAGAGCAGGAUGGAAAAAACUGGAACUUUUGAUGGCCCUGUUGAGAUUCUGAAGCAACCAACAUGGGAAUCUUGUUAUGUUAGGUAUCAAGAUCAUCCAAGGGCUAAUAAGAGCAGUUACCAGCAUUUUUGGAACAAAGCAGACGGAAGCUGGGAUAGGAGGAAAGAAGAGGACAGAAGCAGAGACAGAGUUCUAAUGAGACAUUUCACCAAGAUUUAUGAAGGCUCCUUCUUGAGCAAACUACAGUGCGAGGUGAUCUGGGGACUAUUGUACAUGAAGCCAUGCAGCUUUGUCUGAAAGAUACCUACUCAACACCUCUGGAUGAGCCCUGUGAGAAAGCUCUCCAACACAGGGGAGGGAAUGAGGCUCUGACAAGCACAGCAAGCACACACGGCCUGGACACGCUGCCGAGGAGCCUCUGCUUUUAACCCUCCAGGCUUUCCAGAAAAUAUUUGUCAGAAAAAGUGGGCCUUGUCUUC